UAGAAGCUUUCGGGCUUUGAGACCGGCGCACGGGUGCGUAACGCGUAUGCAAUCUGCCUUACACUAAGGGAUAGCCCAGAGAAAUUUGGAUUAAUACCUUAUAGUAUAUUGAUGUAGCAUUACAUUAUUAUUAAAGAUUUAUCGGUGUAAGAUGAGCAUGCGUCCCAUUAGCUAGUUGGUAUGGUAACGGCAUACCAAGGCAAUGAUGGGUAGGGGUCCUGAGAGGGAGAUCCCCCACACUGGUACUGAGACACGGACCAGACUCC
rnacentral:rRNA from 1 species